CCCAAGUCAGGCGUGUAUUGAAGAGCCUCGGCUCUUGAUUGAAUAUUUAGUGAAGGGUUUUCACUAUUUGAGUAUUUGAGAAUAUGAGUUGAAUAUGAUUGGAAGGUGAUUCAAAGGUGAUUGGAAGUUACCUGGUUUGUGGCCCUGGCUUUCUAUUCAUAAUUUGUCUCAUGGACCUUGAACUGAUAUAAGUCCAAUAAAAUAUAAACAGAAUAUAAUAUAAAGAGACCUACCUG
rnacentral:lncRNA from 1 species